UAAUGAAAAGCGAAACUUGCAAUCGGUUUCGACCCGAUAUUUGGUCACAAGACCUUCAUUUU
rnacentral:tRNA from 1 species